rnacentral:rRNA from 1 species
GGUACACGCUGUGACUAGCAUAUCAAUAAGCGGAGGAAAAGAAACUAACAAGGAUUCCCCUAGUAACGGCGAGUGAAGCGGGAAGAGCUCAAAUUUGAAAUCUUAAAGGGUUUCCCUUUACGAAUUGUAGUUUAAAGAAGUGGUUUCUGUUGAGGUUUUGGUAAAGGUUCUUUGGAGUAGGACAUCAUAGAGGGUGAGAAUCCCGUAUUUGACCUUUACUUUCAACUUUGUGAUACACUUUCAAAGAGUCGGAUUGUUUGGGAAUGCAGUCCAAAAUGGGUGGUAAAUUUCAUCUGAAGCUAAAUAUUGGCGAGAGACCGAUAGCGAACAAGUACCGUGAGGGAAAGAUGAGAAGAACUUUGAAAAGAGAGUUAAACAGUACGUGAAAUUGUCAAAAGGGAAGCGUUUGACACCAGUGUUGUUUUUCUGAAAAUCAAUUAAAGAACUGUUUAUGCUAAGCUGUUUAGACUUUAUCAGCUAAUCUGUUUAGUUUUGAGCUUUUCUUUAAUGCACUUUUCAGUUAACAAGAUCAACAUCAAUUUCUUUUGCUGUAAAAAAGCUUGAGGAAGGUGGCUUGAGAUUCGUCUUAAGUGUUUAUAGCCUCUUGCCUAUGCAGUCGGAGAGAUUGAGGUCCUGCAGCGUAGAUCCUUCGGGGCUAAAUGCAUUUGUGCUAAGUUAUAGCAUUUUAUAGACAACUUGUUGACUAUGAUUUGUCUUGUAGCUUACUCGCUUAUGUUAUUUUACCUACGCUUAGGAUGUUGAAGAUGUAGCACAUCAU